AAGUCGUAACAAGGUUUCCGUAGGUGAACCUGCGGAAGGAUCAUUAUACGUUUAUCCAACGUACCAACCAACGCGCUCUCGUUUAAACCGAGUCUGUGGGCGAGCUUUUCUUAGGGCAUCCAAAAUAUGGUGGGAAUGCAGCAAUGCGUUCUGUUUGGGUGUCCGAUCAUGAACUCGCACAUGGCAACCAUUUUAUUUAUACAUUUUAAAACGCAUUGUAAUCACUUGUACUAAUUACGAAAAACAUCUGCGCAAGCAGGUGGAAUUAAGACAUUAAUUGCUGAACAACUCUUAGCAACGGAUAUCUUGGUUCUC
rnacentral:misc_RNA from 1 species